GCCUGUUUAUCAAAAACAUGGCUCUCUGUAUGAAAUAAAUAGAGAGUCGGACCUGCCCGGUGAUAAUUUUUUAACGGCCGCGGUACCCUGACCGUGCAAAGGUAGCAUAAUCAUUUGCCUUGUAAUUUAAGGCUAGUAUGAAGGGUUUGACAAGAAUAUAACUGUCUCCUUUUGGUUUAGUAGAAUUUUACUUGUAAGUGAAGAGGCUUACAUUAUAUUAAUAGACAAGAAGACCCUAUCGAGCUUGAAAACAAUUAGUGGAUAAAAUCUUGAAUGAAUGACAAAACUAAAUCUACUGAAAAUUUUGGUUGGGGCGACUAAGGAACAAACAAAGCUUCCUUAAAAAUUUUAACAUUCAAGUGAUGAUCCAGGAAGACUCUGAUUAAAGGAACUAGUUACCGUAGGGAUAACAGCAUUAUCUUUUUUAAGAGCUCCUAUCGAAAAAAAGGUUUGUGACCUCGAUGUUGGACCAGAAUGUCCCGAAGGUGUAGCAGCCUUCAAAGGUUGGUCUGUUCGACCAUUAAAAUUCUACGUGAUCUGAGUUCA
rnacentral:rRNA from 1 species